UUUCAUGGAGAGUUUGAUCCUGGCUCAGGAUGAACGCUGGCGGCGUGCCUAAUACAUGCAAGUCGAGCGAACAGACGAGGAGCUUGCUCCUCUGACGUUAGCGGCGGACGGGUGAGUAACACGUGGAUAAC
rnacentral:rRNA from 1 species